UACGUAGGUGGCGAGCGUUGUCCGGAUUUACUGGGCGUAAAGUGUGCGCAGGCGGCCGCGCAAGUCGAGUGUGAAAGCCCCGAGCUUAACUUGGGAAUUGCGCUCGAAACUACGUGGCUGGAGUGUGGCAGAGGAAGGUGGAAUUCCACGUGUAGCGGUGAAAUGCGUAGAGAUGUGGAGGAACACCAAUGGCGAAGGCAGCCUUCUGGGCCAACACUGACGCUCAUGCACGAAAGCGUGGGGAGCAAACAGG
rnacentral:rRNA from 1 species